rnacentral:rRNA from 1 species
CAGUCGCCGCGGUAAGACAGAAGAUGCAAGCGUUAUCCGGAAUGAUUGGGCGUAAAGGGCUCGCAGGCGGUUUCUUAAGUCUGAUAUGAAAGCCCCCGGCUCAACCGGGGAGGGUCAUUGGAAACUGGGAAACUUGAGUGCAGAAGAGGAGAGUGGAAUUCCACGUGUAGCGGUGAAAUGCGUAGAGAUGUGGAGGAACACCAGUGGCGAAGGCGACUCUCUGGUCUGUAACUGACGCUGAGGAGCGAAAGCGUGGGGAGCGAACAGGAUUAGAGACCCCCGUAGUCCCUGUCUCUUAUAC